CCUACGGGAGGCAGCAGUGGGGAAUAUUGCACAAUGGGCGAAACCCUGAUGCAGCGACGCCGCGUGAGUGAAGAAGUAUUUCGGUAUGUAAAGCUCUAUCAGCAGGGAAGAAAAUGACGGUACCUGAUUAAGAAGCCCCGGCUAACUACGUGCCAGCAGCCGCGGUAAUACGUCGGGGGCAAGCGUUAGCCGGAUUUACUGGGUGGAAAGGGAGCGUAGACGGGAGCACAAGUCUGGAGUGAAAUGCCGGGGCUUAACCCCGGAACUGCUUUGGAGACUGUGCAGCUAGAGUGCAGGAGAGGUAAGUGGAAUUCGUAGUGUAGCGGUGAAAUGCGUAGAUAUUAGGAGGAACACCAGUGGCGAAGGCGGCUUACUGGACUGUAACUGACGUUGAGGCUCGAAAGCGUGGGGAGCAAACAGGAUUAGAUACCCCAGUAGUC
rnacentral:rRNA from 1 species